rnacentral:piRNA from 1 species
UGGCUAGCGAUAAGGGUAGGAACUCCUGA